AUACCUUCCGACAAAGCAAAACGAAAACACCACGAUGAGGAAUUGGUGGAUCCGAAAGCGAAAAAAGAUGCAUGCGUUUAACAACAACAAUGUUGAUGCGUUGAAGUGGACGCAUUUCUGCAGGGUGUUGGAGGGAGGAGCAGUUGAAGACGGGAAGAUGAGAGUGAUAUUGGUGGAGGCAAUUGGGAAUCUGUAUUCAGAUAUCACAAAUAAAAAAGGCUUCUCUCCAUACUCUUAUCGCCCUUCACCUUCUCUUCAAAGGGAAACAAGGUAAUGGAAGCAAAUGAGCCAACCACAGAAAAGAAAAGAGGCACUUCAUGCAUGAGAGCUAUAUUCCCUGCAUUUUUAAAAAAAGGUUAGUUAAGAACACUACUUCUGCGUUCAUUUCCAUGUCCCUGCACUUCAUUUCGUUGCAUUGUUUUCUAUUUAUCAAGUAUAGUCUAUUAUACUAGAAACAAGCUCCUUCUGUAUUUUACUAGAAAUGUCCUUAGUCUAUAUUUUACUUGAUUUAUAGUCAACAUAUGCCAAGGACAAAAAGAUGUGGACAAGCAUGUUCUAUUCUUGUGUGACAAUUUUUGCAAUGGCAGAUUGAAAAUAUGUCAUAAGUUCUUUUAUUUAUCAUUAUUAUUAUUACUACUUUUGUCUUUUGGAAAAGUUAGAAACAUAAUGUAUAUGGUUGAGCAUCAAUCGGCGAGAAAUGCCCUUUUCAUUGCAUUUUUUUGCAUUUCUGCAACAAAACACCUUUCCAAACUAAACUUUUCAACUACCUUGCUAUUGCAUUAUAUGUAGUCAAAAGGUAUGGAAGCAGUAUUAAUUACGUCACGGCGAGCUAUUAUGAGUGUAAUUUGUCCAUUAAUUAAGUUAUUACUAACAUGGUGAUAAUAAAAUAAUUUGGUGGCCCUAUCAUUCGUUAUUAGGGGUGACAUGUAUAAAAGCAGCGGGGGGAAGACUAAUUUCAUCUCUUCUUUUUAUACACCUUUGCAGCUCCUUGUUUGCUUGAUUUGUUCAAAUAUUUCAAUAUCAUGUCGGUUUUUCCUAAUAGGGAUCAAAAUCUCUCUACCAUCUUAAUUGUAUUGAUUUCCAAGGUCCAGAUAGACUUCCUUCGAUCAAUGGGAUGGCUUCUCUUCUUGGAGAGUAUGGGAAAACUAAGAGAAUCUUAAAAGGGUAGAAAACGUGUUGCAGGAUUUUUUCUGACAUAGUUACGGUCUUCACCUCCUCUUGAUGCACUGUAAAAGAUUUUUGUAAUUACAAGCUUGAAUAUAUUUGGUAGUUGGUAAUCUUUUUUUGUAACCUAUUUGGCAUCUUCUGGUUGGGAGUGUGUAUUAAGGGUGCUCAAUUUAUGAGAUCCCUCUAUUUGAUGGUAAAUUUAUUAGAAAUGUCUAAUGCGUAAAAGCAGUGGGAAAACCAACUUCUCUUCUUUUUAUUCAUCUUUGGUACUUAUAUUGAUUACUUCUAAAUUUUCAAUAUCAUCUAGGCUAAUUCCUAACUAAGAUCAGAAUCUUGCUAGCAUCUUCUUCAUUAUAUUGAUUUCCAAGGUCAAGAUAGGCUUCUUUGGUUCAACGGUUGUGGCUGCUUUCUGCGGAGAUUAUGGUACGGAAUAAAUAAGAGAAUCUUCAGAGGGUAGGAAGCGUGUUCUUCCUCCUAGCUGGAGUCUUCACCUCCCCUUGGUGCAUUCUUAAAGAUUUUUGUAAUUGCAAGCUUGAUUAUAUUUGCUAGUUGGUAGUUCUUUUUGUAACCUAUUUGGCUUGGCAUCUUCUUGUAGGGAGUGUUCAUUAGGGGUGCUCAAUUUAUAAGGCUAUUCCUAACUAAGAUCAGAAUCUCGCUAGGAUCUUCUUCAUUAUAUUGAUUUCCAAGGUCAAGAUAGGCUUGCUUGGUUCGACGGUGUGGCUGCUUUUCGUGGCGAUUAUGGUAUGGAAUAAAAAGAGAAUCUUCAAAGUGUAGGAAGCGUGUUCUUCCAGACCUAGCUGGAGUCUUCGUCUCCCUUGGUGCACUUUUAAAAAAUUUUGUAAUUACAAGAUUGAUUAUAUCUGCUAGUUAGUAGUUCUUUUCGUAGCCUAUUUGGCAUCUUCUUGUAGGGAGUGUUCAUUAGGGGGUGCUCAUUUUAUAAGGUGAGAUCUCUCUAUUUGAUGAUGCGUAAAAAUAGUGGGAAUUCCAACUU